UGAAGGUUCUGAGGUAUCCGCUGAGCUUGAAUUCCUUAACCAGCAGAGUCUUAUUCUCAGCAUGGAGAAUAAAGCCCUAAAGCAGCGCUUAGAAAACUUAGCUCAAGAACAGAUGAUUAAGCAUUUGGAGCAUGAAGUACUCGAAAGAGAAAGAGGAAGACUACGAGCAUUAUAUCAGCAGCAGCAACUGCCACAGUCACAGCAGCAACAGCAAUCAUCUUCCAGCCAUCGGCGCACCACUAGUAGGGAUCUUGAUCAACAAUUUGCAAACAUCUCUUUGAAACACAAAGACGGUUCAGGCCAACUUCACAUGUGACUCUGAUUGUAGCUAGGACGUAAAUCACAUCUUCUUCCUGACUCUCCCUCAGCUGAUUUUGCCUGGCGAAUGACAAAAAGUACACUGAAUUUUUAUUGUGCAUGGUCAAGAAGAGCUCUUGUCGUCCUUGUGCUCUCUCUCAGAAGCUUUGCCUCCACCUUCUGGCAGCGAUUCUAAUUUCUAUCAUAGUAUGUAUCCCCUCAACUUUGUUUGUUAAGCAUGGUGAUCUUUUUAUGUGCGCCUGGUGGUCAGUGCUAGGGAAUAGCAUUUGUGGCAGUUGACUCACCUGAGGUGGUUAAUUCCGGCAUGAUUACUCCUUUGUAUGUUGUAAAAUUUGCCAGCUAUUGGUUCCACCAUUUUUACCUUCUCCGGUACAUUUUCAUGAACAUUGACUUGUAAGCACUGAUAGUAGAGCUCCAUCAGCUCAAUAUUUCCUUUCUUCUUUAGGCUAUGAAAGCAUUCUAUUUCUGCA